CGGAGAGGGAAGGUCUAGAUGGUCCUAGGGGGAUAACAGGGCCUGGGCUGUGCCCAUCUUAUAGAUGGGAAUAGUGAGUCCUGGGAACUUAGCUAAGGCACAGGUAAGCUUCUCUAGACACUAUGCAGUGAAUCUGACGAAAGCGCCAGGGUUCCGGCUUCCACUUCCUUGUUCAGUGUCUUUAUUCGGGAUGUCUCACCUGUGCUGUCCAAGAAGGGCGUUGCAAACAGGUGUCUCAGCCAUGAAUCUAGGGGUGAGAAAAGAAACCUCCCCUCACCUACAAGGUCAAAGCGCAGGUAUGGGUCCUGGCAGGACCCAUCAGCAGAAUCUGGCUGGAAAACUCUCACGCUAAAAACAGAACUGCCGAGGAUCUUUGAUGUCUUCCUCAUGAUGGCCCUCCACGCACAUCUGCGGGUCACGCUUCUCCAACCGUGAAGGCAGUCCUUUCAGCCAGCUGUGAUAUGAUGAGCAGCCCUAUGGAGAGGGUGUGUGGGAAGAACCUGAAGUCUCCAGCCAGCAGCCACAUGAAUACAUCAUCUUGGAAGCAGAUCCUCCAGCCCCAGUCCAGCCUUCAGAUGACUGCAGCCCUGGUCAACAUCUCAACUGCAGUCUCAUGAGAGACUCCAGACCAGAACCACCCUGCUGAGCCUCUUUUGGAUUCUUGACCCUCAGAAACCCUGUGAGAUCAUAAAUGCCAGUCGUUUUAAGCUGCUAAGUUUUGGGGUCAUUUGUUAGCCAGCAAGAUAACAAAUACAGAUCUGCAUGAAACAUACAAGCAGAAGGAAGUAGGCAGUCAGGUCUACAAGUCUGAAAUUCAGGGAAGCAGUUCAGGCUGAAAUAUAAAUUUGAGAGUUAUUAACAUAUAGGUGAUAUUAAAAGCCAUCAGGAGCAAAGGUUUCUCUUUUUAUGGAAGCUUUCUCCACUUCCCUACUCCCUCUUCUGCGCUCUGAUGUUGGCUUGCCUUUGCUGUGAGGUUGCACGGCGAUGGCUUUGCUGUGCGCCCAUCUGACCAUUAGGUUCAGACAUAACUGAGUCUUCUUUGGAUCUUCUUCUAAACUUGGUACAAACUGGAAGUGCUUAAUAAAUGCUUUUGGGAUGCUAUGAAUGCACAGGGGAGCUUAGAGGGUGAAGCGGACACUGUAAGUGUUAUGACUCUAUCCCUUUUUGCACGGUUGGGCUAACUUUCAACUGCCAGCUUUGGCCUCUCACAGCCUUGGUACCUCCAACCCCUGCAUUGGGAGGCCCCAGAAAAGCCUAGAAUGACCAUCUCCCAGAAGCAGCCCUCAGCUGAAGAUCAUCAUGAGUUGACAUAUAAACAUCUCAGCUUACCCCUUAUGUAGGUUUGGGAGUGGAUGGUUCCAGAUCCUGUGUUUUGCGUUGUUUCUCAGUUUCCUCACAGGAUGCAGCCCUAGUGCCCACUUUGGCAGUGGGCUUAGAACAGCCCUUCCCUGGCUGCCUUCCCUUCUCUGGGUCAUUUCCCUGCUCUCCUGCUGGGGCUCCCCCCAUAGCCAGUACCUCUCAAAUAAACAAUUUGUGCUCAAAUCCGCUCAGGAACUGCUUCUUAGGGAACCAAACCGUGAUUAUGGAGAGGCAGAGCGUGGAUAUGUGGAG
rnacentral:lncRNA from 1 species